CAGCCGCCGCGGUAAUACGAAGGGUGCAAGCGUUACUCGGAAUUACUGGGCGUAAAGCGUGCGUAGGCGGUUGGUUAAGUCUGCUGUGAAAGCCCUGGGCUCAACCUGGGAACUGCAGUGGAAACUGGCCAGCUAGAGUGUGUCAGAGGAUGGUGGAAUUCCCGGUGUAGCGGUGAAAUGCGUAGAGAUCGGGAGGAACACCAGUGGCGAAGGCGGCCAUCUGGGACAACACUGACGCUGAGGCACGAAAGCGUGGGGAGCAAACAGGAUUAGAUACCCCCGUAGUCCCUGUCUCUUAUAC
rnacentral:rRNA from 1 species